UCCUACGGGACGCAGCAGUGGGGGAUAUUGCACAAUGGGGGAAACCCUGAUGCAGCGACGCCGCGUGUGGGAAGACGGUCCUCUGGAUUGUAAACCACUGUCCCCAGGGACGAAGAUGACGGUACCUGGGGAGGAAGCUCCGGCUAACUACGUGCCAGCAGCCGCGGUAAUACGUAGGGGGCAAGCGUUAUCCGGAUUUACUGGGUGUAAAGGGAGCGUAGACGGAAAGGCAAGUCAGAAGUGAAAACCCAAGGCUCAACCAUGGGACUGCUUUUGAAACUGUCAAACUA
rnacentral:rRNA from 1 species